rnacentral:rRNA from 1 species
UACAGAGGUCUCGAGCGUUAGGCGGAAUCACUGGGCUUAAAGCGUGUGUAGGUGGAUCGUUAAGUACCUUGUGAAAUCCCACGGCUUAACCGUGGAACUGCUUGGUAUACUGGCGGUCUUGAGCCAGCUAGGGGCUACCGGAACAAAUGGUGGAGCGGUGAAAUGCGUAGAUAUCAAUUUGGAACGCCAAUGGGUGAAAACAGGGUAGCU